ACUGGCAGAGCCAUGUGUUCUGAUAUGUAAUCAGAAAUUACAUAUUCUGAUUGUCCAAGUCAUGGAAAUGGGGAUGAAGGAAGGGCAGGGGAUUUAAUAUUUUCCUAGAUGGGGCAGAGUACCUCCCCUUUCUUGCCUGGCAGAUGAGUUUGACCAUUUUGUUUUUUACUGCCGGACCACAGUGUUACCGAUAAUCACAGUGUAAACAACAUCCUUUUAGUGCAGCUUUUGUCUCUUUUCUGUAGGAUGGAAAGUCUGGUGAAAUCAGCCUGUCAUGCCAGGCACUGAAGAAAAUACGUGUUGAAAAAAGUGCCUGUUCCCAGGCUUUCAGACUAAAUAACACCAGACCAAAGGUGAAGAGGAAGCAGAAGCCUGGACAAGGGAUUUGAUGGAUUUCCUGCAGCAAGUCCAUGCCCAGGGUGGAACUGAGUCCAAACAUCUCACACCUGGCUUGUAACAACCAGGGUGAAGCUGUUCCCCAGCCUGCCUUGCACUGAUCAGGUUAUGAUUUUCCUGCCUAUUGCUAUCACAUAAAAUCAGGAAUGCUGCAAAAAUUGUCCAAAAGAACAGGAAUCAAAUUGGAUUGACAUAUUUCUUGGACACCACAAUCCAGUGGGAAAGCUAAAAGAAAACCUAAGAAAGCAAAUGAGCCAAAUCUUCCAAAACCCUCAGAUGGCCACAUUCCCUGGCAUUGCUGAGGACUUCAGCCAAGCUCCAAGAAAGAGGUGAGCCCAUAUGGAA
rnacentral:lncRNA from 1 species